CUUGAUGAUGAUUGCUUGUGUUGCAAUCGAAACGUCGUGAUAAUUUUUAUUAUAUUUUAUUUAUAUUAUUUUAUUAUUUCCCUUUUAGGUGACUUUACCGAAAGAUCCAAGAAUCGCUUAAACCCAGUCUCAUGGUAACUUCUCUUACAUUUCGUCCACUACGCUACUUCAGGCAACCAGCCAUUCCAUUAUGGAUUCCCUCGAAACUGAUCAUUUUAAAUAAAUGUUUUAUUAUUUGAAUUUCAGUCGGAGUUUGUUGAUCUUUGUUUUAUUCCUCAUUGAUCUACUGGACAUCUGUAAAGAGCUUCAUAACUCAUCGGAUUUCUCCAGGAAAAAUACAGAUUUUUCAUUAUUAAACAUCGAAUGACAAACACAAGGUUACUCCGUGAAUACACGCGGAACAUGUGGCACCGCUAGUCCUUGCACAACCCCGUGGCAAAAGACAAGGCAUUGCCAAAUCGCAGAUUGGUAUCUUCAAUUGAACACGAUCUGGGAGAUAGAGCCGGAACUCUGUCUGCUACAGCUGUGCUGUAACCUGUCUGAGCUGUCCUGGUCUUCGGACUGAUGUUGGUGGAUACAUAUGCUGAUGUGAGCUGUUGACGUGCCACCUACCACUGCUGAUGAUGGUGAUUUAAAUACAAAAAUGCAAUGGUCACAAAGAUCCACGUGCUUGCUGGGCGAUGUGAAAUGUGCCAGUGAUUGCUGCUUACAAAAAGUGGUCAUCUUGCCCUACUGCAAAGUGUAAUUUAUUUCCCAAUAGUUCUGUGUGGAAUGUGUUUUUUUUCUUUUACAUGAAAGGUGAUUCUCAAAUAUUGUUUUAAGCCGGUAAACACCUGACACUUGAUUGCAUUGCACCUGUUGAAAUUCUCAGAGCACGGCCGAAACUUGCACUCAGUCACAUUUGUUUAUAGCAUCGUAAGAUAACUUACGCAAAACUAUUCAAAUGUUUCAUCUCUCUGAUUCUCCUGUUGAAGCAUAAACAUCUUCAUUACCCUUUAAACGCAUUGUUUCCAGUGCUUUUUUAAGGUAGUGCACGUAUAUGUAAAUUCUAGUAUAUGAAUAUGCAUUCCACGUUUAAAAAUAAAAAGGCAUCAUUGCAUCUUGAAAUCUUUUUUUUUAAAGAACUGCCUUGCUUCUUGUGCCGACAACGAGGCCGUGCCGACAUCUAUUUUGUGCGAACAAUCUUUUACACUCAAUCUAGAUUUGAAGUUUUCGUGACUGCAGGGAUCCAUACUCUUUGGUUCUUUCGGUAAAGUCACGUAGGUAUAAAAUACAUUAAAUCAAAUCACGACGUUUCGGGCGCAACACAAGCGUUCGUCAUCAGGUGGUUAAUUUUAUUUUAUACCUACGUGACUUUACCGAAAGAACCAAAGAGUAUGAAUCUUUUACCCUCUUCAAGGAGUUUGUAUCAUCAUAUGUAUCUAUAUAGAUAUUUUUAAUGGUGGGUUGGGGCAGAUGUAUUUGCUAAUAGAGCCGGCUGUUCUGAGCUGCAGCCCUCACUGUUAAGGCAUUAUUGUGUAGAAUGAGUCAUGUCAGUAUUGAAGAUGUUUUAAAUUAGAGAGAGUUUUUGGCUUGUUUUAUUAUCAUAAUCGUCACCAGUGAUGCCAUUGAGAAUAUAUUGUGCAUGCUUUGUGCACACGAACACAAACAGGACAUAAUUCUUUCUCACACCAACCUCGCCUGCCAAGGGAUGUGCAGCUGCAUUUCUAUACACGUGGAGAGUGGUCAUCUCGUGAAAUUGAUCGCCCUGCUCAAUACUGGUUGACUAUCACAGCUGUAUGUUGAAGAGGACACAAGGUACCCAAGCUGGAAGAAGAAACGUAAUCUUUCGUUUCGUUUUUUUCGGAAAAUGUACAAACAUUCAACAGCGCAUUGUCAGAUUGUUGCAACGCAUGCGGAUGUACGCACAAUUGUCGAGGGUUUGCGGAUUAAAGAACAUAACAGAAUUGUAAAACACUUGUAAAUGUUUUCCUUGGAAAAUUCGAUUUGCUUGCACUGUUGGAGAGAUCAAUGGAAGGUUCUUUAUAUCCAGCCAUUUCGAGAUCUGUAAAGAAGUACAUUCGCAUCGUACCAGGGACCCUGGUGCAUCCCAGUGCCACUCGUUUAUGUUGAGUAAAUUUUAUUCGUUCCUACAAUAUUUCAGCAACAACAAAGUGGACUAACCAGACGUGUAUCUGUUAUAGUAGUGUGCUCUAUAUAUAUCAUUGUCAGUGAGGCACAAUUUGACUUAGUGCUCGUAGAAGGAUUCUGAAUAUCAAGCUUCUUAUUCUUUCCUCAUACAUUUUUGUACCAAUUGUCAAGACAUAAUCACGGUCCAUCAGUGGCGCAGGACACAAGCUGUUUUGGAACAUUCGGUCAUGCAUUGAAACAAUGAUUUGAAUGAUAAAACGAUCUGAAAAGUUUCAACAUUUUUUUCCACAUACACGCAAGUCCCGUGCCAUUCUCUAAUUUACUCAAUUCUGAUCGUUUAUAAGGAAUAAUGUGUCAGUGCAAUGAUCUGCUGCAUCUCCGAAAGCUGGAUAGUGGUGCCAAAAUAUUCACCUUGUCACCAAAAGUGCCAAAAUAUAUUUUACGACUGUUGGUACCUUUAUAUAUAUAAAAAAUGCUUCUUUAGAAUUCAAACCAAUCCUGGCCAUAAUGCUUGUUACACAUACCUGAUACAAGUGCUUGACUUGUGCCAUGGUAGACAUGCAUCCUUGACUGACAUUUCUUAUCUCAGAUUGGAUGUCUUUGUUUCUCUUCGACGUCAUCUAAAUAUUUUCUGCACUGAGUGUAAAGCGUUUUUUGAUGUCUCACCUUUUCAAGGAGUUUCACGAUAGUUUUUCACCUUUGAUUCAACAUGUGCCCCGUUGACCAAUAUUUUUACGGAAUAAAACGUCUCAAAAUUGUGCUAAACGCGCCACUUUGUUUCAAUAUUUGAAAUGCACGUGUUUACUUUCAUUGAUUGCAUAAUGUGUCGUCAAAAAAUGUAUGAACGUUACAAAAUGGUACCGAUAGAUUUUCAGAAACUAUUCUCUGCAUCAAGUGGGCCUAUUUAAUGGCAACAGCCUUGGUUCCGGUCCAAUAACUGUAUUCAGAAAAGGAGGUUUGCACAUUUAUAAAUCGUUAAUCUGCACUUCUUUAGUUUUUGAAUGGAUUUAGCACUUUGUAAUGAAAUGUUAAAUACAUCUUUUUUUAUGUUGCACAAACUUUGACAUCAUUGUAAUGGGAAUGUGAGAAUGCAUUUAGAACCACUAUCGACUCAUAGUUUAAUGAGGCAGUCUUUUAUGAGAAGAGAGAAUGACAUCUUUUUCAAAUCCUGUAUUUCCAUGUACCUUGUGUGCUCAUUCAAUGCCAUUUUUAACAUAUAAUUUGUGACAUGUGUGUGACAUGUUGUGGGUACACUUAGAAUUAUAGUCUCGAUAUAUAGUACACGAUUGGUUUUGCACGUUCAUGUUUUGUGGAUGGAAUCACUAAAAACAAUCUGAACCACUUUCGCGUAAUAGCUCUAAAAUAAUGCUUUUUCAUAUUAACGCGCAUCUUGUAAAACUGUUCAUUUGACAACAUGCCCGAUCCAGAACAAAAUGGAGAUAUUUAUUUCGUGUGAACGCUGUGCAACCACAUAAUAAAGUUUUUUUUUAUUGUUUAAAAAUG